CACAUGCAGUCGAACGAGAAUCUACUGAAAGAGUUUUCGGACAAUGGAUGUAGAGGAAAGUGGCGGACGGGUGAGUAACGCGUGAGGAACCUGCCUUGAAGAGGGGGACAACAGUUGGAAACGACUGCUAAUACCGCAUGAUGCAUAGGGGUCGCAUGAUCUUUAUGCCAAAGAUUUAUCGCUUCAAGAUGGCCUCGCGUCUGAUUAGCUAGUUGGCGGGGUAACGGCCCACCAAGGCGACGAUCAGUAGCCGGACUGAGAGGUUGAACGGCCACAUUGGGACUGAGAUACGGCCCAGACUCCUACGGGAGGCAGCAGUGGGGAAUAUUGGGCAAUGGGCGCAAGCCUGACCCAGCAACGCCGCGUGAAGGAAGAAGGCUUUCGGGUUGUAAACUUCUUUUAAGAGGGAAGAGCAGAAGACGGUACCUCUAGAAUAAGCCACGGCUAACUACGUGCCAGCAGCCGCGGUAAUACGUAGGUGGCAAGCGUUGUCCGGAUUUACUGGGUGUAAAGGGCGUGCAGCCGGGUCUGCAAGUCAGAUGUGAAAUCCAUGGGCUCAACCCAUGAACUGCAUUUGAAACUGUAGAUCUUGAGUGUCGGAGGGGCAAUCGGAAUUCCUAGUGUAGCGGUGAAAUGCGUAGAUAUUAGGAGGAACACCAGUGGCGAAGGCGGAUUGCUGGACGAUAACUGACGGUGAGGCGCGAAAGUGUGGGGAGCAAACAGGAUUAGAUACCCUGGUAGUCCACACUGUAAACGAUGAAUACUAGGUGUGCGGGGACUGACCCCCUGCGUGCCGCAGUAAACACAAUAAGUAUUCCACCUGGGGAGUACGAUCGCAAGGUUGAAACUCAAAGGAAUUGACGGG
rnacentral:rRNA from 1 species